UAUCGUUAUUAUUUGUUAACGUUAAAACUUUUAAGAUAUAACUAAGCUUAUUACAACUUUAGUCGUGUACCAACAACGAUGUGAACGAUGACGUAGACGACGACGACGGCAACGACAACUACGAUAAUAACGACAAGAUCCACGAAGGGAAACAAUGAGAAAUCGGAGAUAGUAGGAUGCGUGACUGACUAUUAAACCGCAAACAUUACGCCGAAAGUUGCCAAUUAUUGCCUGACUGCAUCGCUUAGUGGCAGAGGGAUUGAGCGCAAUUAAUUUGCGGUCGUAACGUGCUGUAUAUAGCUUACCGAUGUGACCAAUAACGUUCUUCGUCAGGCAAGAAAAAGAUACACAGGAAUUCUCGUCAGCAAAAAUUUCUAUUGAAAAGGUUAUUGUGGUCAAAGUUUAAAAAAAUUACGAGUUAUGUCUGUGUGUGUCUUUAGGAAGGUUUAGUAAUAAAGAGGACGAUCUGUAAGUUGGAUGAAGCGUUUGAUGAAACUUAAAAUCCGAAGGUGCUGACCUUACAAAACGUGUUUCUUUCGUAGAAAUUUUCGAGAAAAUAAAAAGAAGAAAAGAGAGGAUGUAAGACAGAUAGAAAGAGAUAAAAUAGAUAUAUAUAUAGAAAGUUGACCACUCGAUUGCACCGUGUGCCCGGCAAGUGCACGUGACUAACACUCUAAUUAUGUAUUUAGUCUUAAUUAGGCGGGCGUUACGUUCUCGUGACUGCAGGAUGCUCGCAACGGAAGUUCAAAGUCUCCUGUGCUGCAAGCUCGUAACACGCUAACCACGCCAGCUGUCAGACACCUUUCUCAACCAGAAAUUACACUUUCCACGCUCUCGUUGAGGUAAAAUCACUUCUAAUAACGUUCGGCAAAUCGUAUAUUUUCUUUUUUAUUUAUUUCUUUAACUGAUAACUCAAUAUCGGCAAAUUCGAAGUUUUAUUUAUUUGUAUUUCUAUAUGUGCACACGGAUAUUAAAAUAAUUCGAAAACAUAUAUACUUAAAUGUAUCAUGCGUCGAAUGGAUACGAGUAUUGCAAUUGACUUCGUAUUUUCGUAUUUUCGUAUUUUUAUUCGAAAUCGUUUACUACCGCUAUCAUAUCUAACGAAACUUUUAUGGUUGCUUGUAAACUAGUUUACUCAUGGAAGAUAAUCACUGUCAACUGGUAGGUCGAAUUCGAAAUUAUAAAUAUUCCGUAUCGUUUGCUUUGAUUUCGAUUUGUUCGAUAAUUGUUUUAUAAUUAAGCGAAUUGAAUACAAAUAUUUUAUAGAAAAAACAAACAAUAAUAAAAGCUUUUUCCACGAAAGCUUUACUUUUUUUCAUUAAUAUAAGUACACUUCGUCCGGAAAUUACGAAAAUCCCUAAACACGAUAUUUAAUUUUCAUGAAAACUUUCGGUCACAGUUGCCGCUGCGAUUUUUUUUUCUUUCUUUUCCUUUUUUUCUGUCCAUCUGUCCGUCUGUCUGUUUAUUUCUCUCUCUUCCUAUCUACUCGGACCAACUUUUAGAAGUUAGAUACUUCUAGACUGCAAGUUGGCAAAAGUUCUCAAACAGCUAUAGUUCGUAUCUAUCGGUAAGCCUAAAUUUAACAUUUUCGAAGAGUCGAAAAUUCCAUUAUUUCUGUAAAAGCCGUCUUGACGUGACCGCGGUUCAAGAUUUCACGUUAAUUUCGGGGGGAAAAAAAAAACACAAAAAGCGAAAACGAUUGUCGUAUUUCUUAUAGAAUCAAAUAGAAUUUUUCUUCUAAGAGGCUUAAACGAAGAAGUGGUGUAAAAGUAGACAAGGAAAAGUGGAUGUAGAAAAAGUAUAAUAGGAGAAAGACUAUUCUUUCGCGAUGGCAAUGGCGACGAUGACGACGACAACGACAACGACGACGAAGCCCGCUCGAAUGAUUUUGUCGAAUCGACAAAACUUUUCCCGUGGGUGCUUUUUCACGAAAUACCACUCCGUUUGUACGUCAGAAGACAGUCCCGGUUCAGUAGAUCUGAUAUAUCGUCUCGAUAGCGCCGUCUUAUUCAGACGUUAUAACCAUUAAACUCUGAUAUUGCUUGAAGCCAAUGAGAGAAAAAGUCUAAAAUAUCGUAUAGCUUUCUUACACUGAUCGUUUUGCCAUACGAUAAACGCAUUGGAUUAUUCUACAAUAAGCGGAAAUUAUUUUCGGGAAAAUGAUGAUAAAAUAAUUACUGGUCAUUCAUCUCCUUUCCUAUGCCGUUUGAAAGAGAUUUGUAUCGUGAAAAUUUUUGACGUAAUUAUUUUGCCCAAUUCUGAUUAUUAAGGAUUCAUUUAUUAGAUACAAGUUCUUUUUUUAUACUA